UUUGUGUAGUUUUUUGUUUU
rnacentral:miRNA from 1 species